UUCUGUUUCAGGAUCCCAACCAGGAUAACACAUGACAUUUAGUCAUUAUGUCCCUUACGAUUCCUCUUGGCUGUGACAGUUUCUCAGACAUUCUUUAUUGUUGAUGACUUGGACAGUUUUGAGGAGUACUAGUCAAGUAUUUUACAAAAUGUUUCUCAACUGGGAUUUUACUGAUGUUUGCUCAUGAUUAGAUUGCGGUAAUGUGCCAAAGAGAUAAAGUGCCAUUUCUAUGACAUCAUAUCAAGGGCACAUACUAUCACAUGACUUAUCACUGCUGAUGUUAACCUUCAUCACCUGGAUAAGGUAUCAACUGCCAGGUUUGUCCACUGCAAAGCUACUCAUUCCCUCUCCCUUUCCAUACUGCUCCUUGGAAGGACUUCACUAUGCACAGCCACACUUAAGGAAUGGGGGUAUAUUUAACCUCCAAGAAUUGCUCAAAGAGGUGGGCGACUUGAGUUUAUUAUGUUUAUGAUGAUUUUUUAUGAUGAUCCUAAUCACUAAAGUUCCAGAUUCCCUUCAUUAAAACUAUGGGAGAACCAAGUGAAGAACCAAGAUAGUCAAUAAGUGAUGUUGAUUGACUAUCGAUAAUUCAGUAACUUUAAGUUCACAAAGAAUUUCAGAACAAAUAAUGAUUGGGAUUCUUUGCAAACACUUGGAAAGUUCUCAGCACCCAGUAAUUGCCAUAAAACAUUCAGUUUUCAUCACUUUUUGUACAUAUUAUAAUACUUUUGGACUCUAUUUCAAAAAUUAAAAUUCAAAAUAUUCAGGAGGAGGGGAUAAUAUCUUAAGCAUAUGCAGUUUUUGAAAAGCAGUUAAUUAGAAGUGAAAAGACAUUUUAAAGAUGACAAAUAUCCUAAAAGCAAGUAUUCUCAUUUUUUUUCUCCAUAUUAGAACAGCUUAUUUUGACUCUGAAUAUAGCUGGCAUAAUUAUGGCUAAACUCUUUCUUUUCUAAUUAGUUCUCUUUCCCUAGCUACUUCAUUCCUCCCCAUGUACAGAACUUUCUUAAAAGAUUGUUGGUGAUUAAGACCUUUACGUAUGACAGAACCAGUAUAUUCAUGGGCUUCCUCUCUGUUCAUUCCAAGUGCCAAUUUUCACACUUUGUUCCUUUGUGCCUAAAGUAUUCUAAAUGUAAUUGCCUGAGAUAUGGUUUGGGAGACUGCAGUUGUCUAACUUUUGCCAUUAGGAACUAUAAAAACAGAGCAAGCUGAAGCUUUCUUUCUUCUAAAAACUCACAUAGUCAGAUAGGUGUUUAAAUUUUUGUCAAACCCUCCCACUUACAAUUUCAUCUUUGGGUUCAGCCUCACCAUGACUCAGAAAAGUUGUAACUUUCUGUCUGGGCCAAGAUUCAGUUACUCGGCGUCUUAAAGAAUUCUACUUACCAGAUGGUAAAGAAAAAUAGGUCACUGUUUCUGAUUGAGUACUAGUUGGAAGACCCAAAGGGAAGAUCUGACAGGAAUUAAUGUCUUUUCCAAGAAUCCUGUAGCCAGCCAGAGAUAGAGCUGACUCAUCAGUGGCAUCAGAACACAGGUAUCUCAACAUGAAAGGGCUCCUCCUGAGGCCUUACCCAACAAAACCUCUUAUGGAUAUACAGUGAGCCAAAGGAGAGUAUUUACUCCUUCAUGUCUAGGUUAUAAUCCUUUCAGUGAUUAUCCAAUACAGAGAGAAGCUAAAGAAAAUAGGGUAUCAAGAGGCCAUCUCCUUCUAUCUGCAGUCUUUUCAUUCUGCAUUUCUGCUGCCAUCCAAGUGACACUAAGAUUCACUAAUAUUGUGAUGCCCUCAAAGUGUACAACAAGGAAGGAAACUAUGAAGCAGGCCUGACCUCCUGGCUUGACCUCCACACACAUCUUUCUGUACCCAGAGGAGAGCUUUACACUGUAGCCCAGCUCCCAAAAGAAGUUAUGAUGUUAAGGCUCGAAGCCUAACUUCAUUUAAAAACAAAAUAUACAAGAAUCUACCAGCUCAUUUUGUAGGUUAAAAGUGGUCCAACCUUAUAAUUAUUGUCACCAAUGCAAUUGAAGGCAUGUGAAAAUCUAAAAUGGGAGGAGAAUAUUGGUGUGCAGGAAGUUUCAGCAUUUGUUAUUUUUAUGGAACGGGGAAGAAUUUUUUUCUUUUUUAGGUUACGCUUCACAGAAAAAAUUUCUCUCUUCCCAGCACAAAGCCUGCAUUUGUAAACUCUUUCAACGACUGAAACGCAAUUCGCAUUCACAGACACACCACGCCCAAACACAUACGAUGCACCCCCACACACCUGCAGUUCUUAAGCGAAGACCUAUAUAUUCCAUCUGUGCACUAAGAACUCGAACUGGUUUUCAGAAUAUAUUAGAAACAUGUAAACCUCUUUUAAAAAUAUGAUUGAUGAAGACUCCAUGGAAAAUCUGAACUUUGGACAAAUGCAGUAAGAUGUCCUGAGAAUCUUUUGCAGUACUUAUUAAAAGCCUCAGCCAGCGGAAACAACCAGAGCAUGCAGAGCUUGUGGGGGCAUGAGUGUGAGGGACGUAGUAAAGUGGCGUGAGCAAUGCCAAACUGAUGGUGGAAAAGGGGACGGCAGGCCAAAUCAGUCAUAUUUUUUCCUUUGAUUAGUCUUGGCUAUUGGUCUCACCAAUUGCUUUUUGAGAAGUUAUUGGGAGUGAAGAUAUGACCUGUAUAGAAUAUUUUUUAUAAAUUGUUGCCUGCAUUUUAUGCAAUAAACAAAUGAAGUCCUAGUGAAGAUACAGACAUCAGGUAACGCCAGUCAUUUUCAUCAAAGCUUUUACUGGUUGGAAAAGAUCUAUGGCUGUUUAUCUACACCACACGUUAGGAUUACCUACAUGUUGGAGUCAACAAGGUAUUAUUAACCCAUCUUUCCAGCCACAAAGAUAACUGGACUCAACUGGACAAUUGAAUAGAAAUGGCAGCCACCUUGAGUGUUGUGUUUCCUUUCCUGGAGAUGUGCAAGCCAAGUGAGGAAAUGGAAUAGAAUGUGCAAGACCAGGGUCGCUACCAACAGAUCAGGCUUUUACAGCCCCCCCAGGUGGGCAGAGGCAUGUGGUGGAGGAAAAUAUAGACCCAGAUUGCACUUGCCACAGCCAUCUCCCAGAAACCCAAGUGAGUUUCUCCACCAGAGGCAGUGCAGACAGGAGGGGGCAUUGCAGCUCUGUAGAAUACACUACGGAUUGUUUGGGGUUUUGUUUUUGUUUUUAAUUUAGGGGUACUGAACUAUCACCAACUGCAAAUUCGAGAAGGUCCGUAGUUUAAGUCCAGCCAUAACUAAAAUAUGAAACUCUAUAUGCUAUAGGAUGAAGUUAGUGAAAGCAGAGGUGAUUCAAGAGCUAUAUGGUCAAGAAACCUUUCUCUUCAAAGAUUUAAGAUCGCAGCCAACAGACCUCUGGUGACUUAAAUUGGAUUUGGAAGUAUACAAACCCCACCCUUCCUGGGUACGUGGUACCACUGUUAACUCUCUGAAAAGUAAAGGCAAAGUUUCUGCCUUGGGCAAUUUGAAACCAUAACGAUUUCAUUUUAUUCCUUCUGGAUAUUACUCAUUGGGGUGAGAGUCACAGGCAAGGAGAACAAGAGAAAAAUAUCCUGAGACAGGCAGUUUCAAUGAUGUGGUUGCAACAAUGAACAUUCCAGAGAUCUCAUGGCAAGUCCUAUUACUGUGAUACUUCCUGCCCAAUAAGAAGUUUGGAAAGUCAAUAUGCGCACCCAGACUAUUGGCUGCGAAACUCAACGAAGGUUCCUCGAUCUUUCUCUGACCCUCCGUCGAGCAGUUUAAUCAAAAGUAUCAGAACAGACAGCUGUGGUUCCCUUUUCAUUCUGAAAAUAAUGAGCACAAGAGUCGGUGAGCUUCUCCCACAGACACCUCCUCCAUUGAUGGCAUCUCCUUCCAGCUGCUUCUAACAAUUUGAAAUUGAUUGGACCUGCAGCCUUUGAAGGAUAAUAGCCCCUCUUAACAUUUUGAGAGGUGCACAACUUGAAAUGGCUCAUGGUAUUUCAUUUCAGGGUCUCACACUGCUCUUCGUUUAACCAUCCAGGAAACAUAAACAGGACAUUGCUUCACACCCCUGAGAGCUUGUAAUGUUCACUUGUUUGCAUGACACUCACCGAGUAGCCUAAUUAAUUAUCUGUGGGCAGCAGAUCACAUGUGGUCGCAUUAGUUAGUUAAGUAUGCAUGGUCUUUAUCAAUUUACACAUGUGAUUUUUUUUGGGGGAGGUAGCAGUUAAGGUAGUUACCUUGCCCUUCAAUAUUUGAAUAUGUAGUAUUUAUGUUGUAUUUGCUAAAAUUUCACAAUCUCCAUAAGCAAAGAUAAACAUAAAAUGUGGUAUCCGAAGAACAAUUUAAAUCAAAUCAUGCCCUAAUUAUAACAAAUUUCUGAAAGGCAAAUAGUAUUAGAUCAGAAUUUUUCAAAGGCAGUAUCAGGAUCCAUGUUCAUCAUUCAGACUUCUGAAAUCAUUAGCGGUUCUUACAUGGCCACCUGCCAAGGAAUAUAUUUUGUUCAUUACAAAUUCUCUGACAAAGUUUCCUAAGCACCACCUAUGCUCUGAGAAUAUUUAAUAUAAGGAUUCAGUUCAUGAAGCAUCACUAUAGUGCUCAGUCGGCUAUCUCUCUUACUACCUUGUAUUUCUUUCUGACUACAUCUCAAAGCCUGACUGGUUAAAUGUUUUUAAAGUCACCCCAAAUAGAUUCUUUAGUAUUAGAGUCCAUAGUUAGGGAACCCAGGGUGCAGAUGCACAAAGAAACAAGUGGAAAAAAAAAAAAGAAAGAAAGAAAAAAAAUUAAAAAAAAAGAAAGAAAAAAAUUUUUUAAAAAAGAAAGAAAAAAAUUAAAAAAAAAA
rnacentral:lncRNA from 1 species